GUCGAACGAGAACUUUCGUUGUAGCAAUACAAUGGAAGUUCUAGUGGCGAACGGGUGCGUAACACGUGGGCAAUCUGCCUUAAAGUGGGGGAUAGCUCGGCGAAAGCCGGAUUAAUACCGCAUGUGAUUACCGGAGACAUCUUCGGAACAUCAAAGUCGGGGCAACCUGACGCUUUUUGAGGAGCCCGCGGCCUAUCAGCUUGUUGGUGAGGUAACGGCUCACCAAGGCUUUGACGGGUAGCUGGUCUGAGAGGACGACCAGUCACACUGGAACUGAGACACGGUCCAGACACCUACGGGUGGCAGCAGUCGAGAAUUUUUCUCAAUGGGGAAAACCCUGAAGGAGCGACGCCGCGUGGAGGAUGAAGGUCUUCGGGUUGUAAACUCCUGUCAUUUGGGAACAAUGCUGACGUAUUAACUGUACGUUAGUUGAUAGUACCAGAAGAGGAAGAGACGGCUAACUCUGUGCCAGCAGCCGCGGUAAUACAGAGGUCUCAAGCGUUGUUCGGAUUCAUUGGGCGUAAAGGGUGCGUAGGUGGCGCGCUAAGUCGGGUGUGAAAUUUCGGAGCUUAACUCCGAAACUGCAUUCGAUACUGGCGUGCUUGAGGACUGGAGAGGAGACUGGAAUUCAUGGUGUAGCAGUGAAAUGCGUAGAGAUCAUGAGGAAGACCAGUGGCGAAGGCGGGUCUCUGGACAGUUCCUGGCACUGAGACACGAAGGCCAGGGGAGCAAACGGGAUUAGAUACCCCGGUAGUCCUGGCAGUAAACGGUGCACGUUUGGUGUGGGAGGA
rnacentral:rRNA from 1 species